GGAGGUGCAAGCACACCUGGUGGUGGCCGCGGUCUUCAAAACCGUUGGGCUGCAAGUCAAGCUUGCGGCCGGUCGGUUCGAUUCCGACGCACUUCC
rnacentral:tRNA from 1 species